GAUGAACGCUGGCGGCGUGCCUAACACAUGCAAGUCGAACGGAGUCCCGCCUUUAAGACCUUCGGGUCAAAGAGGGGAAGACUGAGUGGCGGACGGGUGAGUAACACGUGGGCAACCUGGCUCAUAGAGGGGGAUAACAGAGAGCAAUUUCUGCUAAUACCCCAUAAGCACACGCUGCCGCAUGGCAGGGGGUGAAAAGAGAAUCGCGAUGAGAUGGACCCGCGUCUGAUUAGCCAGUUGGCAGGGUAAGAGCCUACCAAAGCGACGAUCAGUAGCCGAUCUGAGAGGAUGAACGGCCACAUUGGGAAUGAGACACGGCCCAAACUGCGACGGGAGGGAGCAGUGGGGGGUAUUGCACAAUGGGGGGAACCCUGAUGCAGCGACGCCGCGUGAGUGAAGAAGUAGUUCGGUAUGUAAAGCUCUAUCAGCAGGGAAGAUAAUGACAGUACCGGAAUAAGAAGCCCCGGCUAACUACGUG
rnacentral:rRNA from 1 species